AUUGAACGCUGGCGGCAUGCCUUACACAUGCAAGUCGAACGGCAGCACGGGAGCAAUCCUGGUAGCGAGUGGCGAACGGGUGAGUAAUAUAUCGGAACGUGCCCAGUCGUGGGGGAUAACGUAGCGAAAGCUACGCUAACACCGCAUACGAUCUAUGGAUGAAAGCGGGGGAUCGCAAGACCUCGCGCGAUUGGAGCGGCCGAUAUCAGAUUAGGUAGUUGGUGGGGUAAAAGCCUACCAAGCCGACGAUCUGUAGCUGGUCUGAGAGGACGACCAGCCACACUGGGACUGAGACACGGCCCAGACUCCUACGGGAGGCAGCAGUGGGGAAUUUUGGACAAUGGGCGCAAGCCUGAUCCAGCAAUGCCGCGUGCAGGAUGAAGGCCUUCGGGUUGUAAACUGCUUUUGUACGGAGCGAAAAGGCUCUCUCUAAUACAGGGGGCUCAUGACGGUACCGUAAGAAUAAGCACCGGCUAACUACGUGCCAGCAGCCGCGGUAA
rnacentral:rRNA from 1 species